rnacentral:rRNA from 1 species
AUACGGAGGAUGCAAGCGUUAUCCGGAUUUAUUGGGUUUAAAGGGUGCGUAGGCGGUUUGCUAAGCGGGAGGUGAAAUGCCGGCGCUCAACGUCGGAAGUGCCUCCCGAACUGGUGGACUUGAAUGACUCUGCCGUGGGAGGAAUGUGUAGUGUAGCGGUGAAAUGCUUAGAGAUUACACAGAACACCGAUUGCGAAGGCAUCUCACGAAGGGUUGAUUGACGCUGAGGCACGAAAGCGUGGGGAUCAAACAGGAUUAGAUACCCUGGUAGUCCACGCAGGAAACGAUGAUGGCUAACCGCUGGGCUUACCAGUUCAGUGGCCAAGCGAAAGCGAUAAGCCAUCCACCUGGGGAGUACGACCGCAAGGUUGAAACUCAAAUGAAUUGACGGGG